UACAGGGGGUGCAAACGUUGUCCGGAAUCAUUGGGCGUAAAGCGCGUGUAGGCGGUCCGGUAAGUCCGCUGUGAAAGUCGGGGGCUCAACCCUCGGAUGCCGGUGGAUACUGUCGGGCUUGAGUACGGAAGAGGCGAGUGGAAUUCCUGGUGUAGCGGUGAAAUGCGCAGAUAUCAGGAGGAACACCAAUUGCGAAGGCAGCUCGCUGGGACGUUACUGACGCUGAGACGCGAAAGCGUGGGGAUCAAACAGG
rnacentral:rRNA from 1 species